rnacentral:rRNA from 1 species
UACGGGGGGAGCAAGCGUUGUUCGGAUUUACUGGGCGUAAAGGGCGCGUAGGCGGCCAGCGCAAGUCAGUUGUGAAAUCUCCGGGCUUAACUCGGAACGGUCAACUGAUACUGCGCGGCUAGAGUGCAGAAGGGGCAACUGGAAUUCUCGGUGUAGCGGUUAAAUGCGUAGAUAUCGAGAGGAACACCUGCGGCGAAGGCGGGUUGCUGGGCUGACACUGACGCUGAUGCGCGAAAGCCAGGGGAGCGAACGGG